UGAGGGAAAGUUGCAAAGAACUUUGAAGAGAGAGUUCAAGAGUACGUGAAACUGCUCGGAAGGAAACAGGUGGAUCUUCGAAGUCCGAGCGGAGCGGGAUUCAGUGGCGGGCGGCGAGGGGUGUCCGAAGCCUUCCAGUACCCCGCUCGCGGGGACGGGCGACGGGCACCGUUCUCCCGUCAGCCGCGCACUUCUCGCUCCCGGCGGACGCCGCAGCCGGUCUGGCGUCGGCAGUGAGGACUGGCCGGGCGAUGGCGUGGGCGCCGAUCCAGCAUCGGCGUCCCGAUUCUGUACCGGCCGUGUUUUCCCGGUGCGACGCCGGUCCGAGGGAAGAGGGUCCGGACUUCAAGUUCCGGACGCGCCGCGGUCUCGCCACGAGAGUGGCAGAGCGGGAGAGUGGUCCGGUCCUACCGGCCGAGUCGCCCACCACGAGCCGUGGGCGACCGGAAAAAGGUGAGCCGCCAGAUCGCGACCUGGCCCGCAACGGCGAGCCGAGGGCUUGCGGCGAGUAGGUCGGUAUUCCACCUGACCCGUCUUGAAACACGGACCAAGGAGUAUAACUUGUGCGCGAGUCAGUGGGACUCGACCAAGCCCACGGGCGCAAUGAGAGUGAAUCGAAUAUCUAUUCGUGCGUCGCGAUCCGGCGCCCCCCGCGGCGCCGGCGCAGCGACGGCCCGACUGAAAAGUAGUUCAGCGAUGCUGGCGCCGGUCGGAGCCCGAGCGUACAGGUUGUUGCCCGAAAGAUGGUGAACUAUGCCCGGGCAGGUUGAAGCUAGAGGAAACUCUGGUGGAGGACCGCAGCGGUUCUGACGUGCAAAUCGAUCGUCGAACCUGGG
rnacentral:rRNA from 1 species